UCAAGCAAAAAAGAGCGCAGGGUGGAUGCCUUGGCACUAAGAGCCGAAGAAAGACGUGAUAAGCUGCGAAAAGCUGCGGGGAGGAGCAAAUAUCCACUGAUCCGCAGAUGUCUGAAUGGGGAAACCCGCAUGAGCAACCCUCAUGCAUCCAUACGCCAAUCCAUAACGUAUGGAGGGGAACCGCCUGAACUGAAACAUCUAAGUAGGGCGAGGAAGAGAAAGAAAAUUUAUCGAUUUCCAAAGUAGCGGCGAGCGAAAUGGAAAGAGCCCAAACCGUGAUGCGUGCAUCGCGGGGUUCGGACUGCGUUGUGGCAGACGUAAGAUAGGAGAACGGACUGGGAAGUCCGGCCGGAGAGAGUGAAAGCCUCGUAUCCGAAAUCCCAAGUCGCCUAGCAGGAUCCAGAGUAGGACGAGACACGAGAAACCUUGUCUGAACGAGCGGGGACCACCCCGUAAGGCUAAAUACUUCUUAGUGACCGAUAGCGCAUAGUACUGUGAAGGAAAGGUGAAAAGUACCCCGGGAGGGGAGUGAAAGAGAACCUGAAACCCUGUGUCUACAAGCUGUGGGACCUCUUUAUAUGAGGGACUGCGUACUUUUUGUAGAACGGUCCGGCGAGUUGUGCGUACUGGCGAGGUUAAGGACUUAAGGUCUGGAGCCGAAGUGAAAGCAAGCGUUAAUAGCGCGUCAAGUCAGUGAGUGCAGACCCGAAACCGGGUGACCUAUCCAUGUCCAGGUUGAAGCUUCCGUAAGAGGAAGUGGAGGACCGAACCCACAUCCGUUGAAAAGGGUGGGGAUGAGGUGUGGAUAGCGGAGAAAUUCCAAUCGAACCCGGAGAUAGCUGGUUCUCCUCGAAAUAGCUUUAGGGCUAGCCUCAUGAGAGUCUUAUGGAGGUAGAGCACUGAAUUGCCUAGGGGGCGUCAAAGCUUACCAAAGCAUAUCAAACUCCGAAUGCCAUCAAGAUGAUUCAUGGGAGUCAGACCAUACGAGAUAAGUUGGAUGGUCAAAAGGGAAAGAGCCCAGACCUACAGCUAAGGUCCCAAAGUACGUGUUAAGUGGAAAAGGAUGUGGGGAUUCUAAGACAACUAGGACGUUGGCUUAGAAGCAGCCAUUCAUUGAAAGAGUGCGUAAUAGCUCACUAGUCGAGAGUCCCUGCGCCGAAAAUGUCCGGGGCUGAAACACGACACCGAAGCUUAGGAAUGUGUAAACAUUGGUAGAGGAGCAUUGCUGGCGGGAUGAAGCCAUACCGUAAGGAGUGGUGGACUGCCAGGAAGAGAGAAUGCCGGAAUGAGUAGCGAGAUGAAGGUGAGAAUCCUUCAGGCCGAAUAUCUAAGGUUUCCAGAGUAAAGCUGAUCUGCUCUGGGUAAGUCGGGACCUAAGGCGAGGUCGAAAGACGUAGUCGAUGGAUAACAGGUUGAAAUUCCUGUACCGCAUAUAAACAGAACUGUGGGGACACAGACAGGGAAUGGAAUCCGGGAAUGGAAAUCCCGGUGCAAGCGAGGUAGGAGUGCUGUUGGCAAAUCCGCAGCACGAUCUGAAGACGUGACGCGUACCGAACAUAAGUAGGGAAGUCCAGGCCCCUGGCUGUCAAGAAAAGCCGCUAUUGUUUUAUAUGUGCCCGUACCGCAAACCGACACAGGUGGAUGAGGAGAGAAUCCUAAGGCCGACGGGAGAAGUAUUGUUAAGGAACUCGGCAAAAUGACUCCGUAACUUCGGGAGAAGGAGUGCCAUGAGAGUGGCCGCAGAGAAAUGGCCCAAGCAACUGUUUAGCAAAAACACAGGUCUAUGCAAAACCGCAAGGUGAAGUAUAUGGGCUGACGCCUGCCCGGUGCUGGAAGGUUAAGGGGAGAGGUUAGCGCAAGCGAAGCUUUGAACUUAAGCCCCAGUAAACGGCGGCCGUAACUAUAACGGUCCUAAGGUAGCGAAAUUCCUUGUCGGGUAAGUUCCGACCC
rnacentral:rRNA from 1 species